UACGUAGGGGGCAAGCGUUGUCCGGAAUCAUUGGGCGUAAAGAGCGCGUAGGCGGCCCUGUAAGUCCGCUGUGAAAGUCAAGGGCUCAACCCUUGGAUGCCGGUGGAUACUGCAGGGCUAGAGUCCGGAAGAGGCGAGUGGAAUUCCUGGUGUAGCGGUGAAAUGCGCAGAUAUCAGGAGGAACACCGAUGGCGAAGGCAGCUCGCUGGGACGGUACUGACGCUGAGGCGCGAAAGCGUGGGGGAGCAAACAGG
rnacentral:rRNA from 1 species